rnacentral:rRNA from 1 species
GACGAACGCUGGCGGCGUGCUUAACACAUGCAAGUCGAACGGAAAGGCCCUGCUUUUGUGGGGUGCUCGAGUGGCGAACGGGUGAGUAACACGUGAGUAACCUGCCCUUGACUUUGGGAUAACUUCAGGAAACUGGGGCUAAUACCGGAGAGGAGCUCCUGCUGCAUGGGGGGGGUUGGAAAGUUUCGGCGGUGGGGGCUGGAAUCGCGGCUUAUCAGCUUGAUGGUGGGGUAGUGACUGCCCAAGGUUUUGAAGGGUAGCCGGCCUGGGAGGGUGACCGGCCACAUGGCGCCUGCGGUACGCCCCAGACUCCUACGUGAGGCAGCGGUCGAGAGUCUUGCACAGUGGGCGCAAGCCUGAUGCAGCAGCGCCGCGUUCGUAAUGCCGUCCUUCGGGUUGUAAACCGCUUUCUCCUGUGACGAACCGUGAGUGACGGUACUGGGUAAGGAAGCACCGGCUAACUACGUG